GAACGGCAGCACGGGCUUCGGCCUGGUGGCGAGUGGCGAACGGGUGAGUAAUACAUCGGAACGUGCCCUGUCGUGGGGGAUAACUAGUCGAAAGAUUAGCUAAUACCGCAUACGACCUGAGGGUGAAAGCGGGGGACCGGUAACGGCCUCGCGCGACAGGAGCGGCCGAUGUCUGAUUAGCUAGUUGGUGGGGUAAGAGCCUACCAAGGCGACGAUCAGUAGCUGGUCUGAGAGGACGAUCAGCCACACUGGGACUGAGACACGGCCCAGACUCCUACGGGAGGCAGCAGUGGGGAAUUUUGGACAAUGGGGGCAACCCUGAUCCAGCAAUGCCGCGUGUGUGAAGAAGGCCUUCGGGUUGUAAAGCACUUUUGUCCGGAAAGAAAUGGCGCUGGUUAAUACCCGGCGUCGAUGACGGUACCGGAAGAAUAAGCACCGGCUAACUACGUGCCAGCAGCCGCGGUAAUACGUAGGGUGCGAGCGUUAAUCGGAAUUACUGGGCGUAAAGCGUGCGCAGGCGGUUUGAUAAGACAGGCGUGAAAUCCCCGAGCUCAACUUGGGAAUGGCGCUUGUGACUGUCAGGCUAGAGUAUGUCAGA
rnacentral:rRNA from 1 species